UCCUCCUCGCCCCUCCCAUUUACCUGCUCCUCGCCCCUCCUAUUUACUUCCUCCCUCUUUACUCCUUUCCUUCCUUUCUUCUGUUCUGGUCACCGACUGUUUCGAGCUUUACUGAUCCCUGGACGCGAAGGGCUGUGCCCCACCCACAGGGUUCUUCAGCCUUAGGUCACUUGGCAGGCUGAGAUGAGGACGGAGAGGCUCAGAUUUUCAAAUGAACUGGUUGGCAACACUGGUCAGUCAUUAAGAAGUGUUUCUGUGACAGUGUAACUAUUGUGCCAGUGGUGGAAAAGAAGAAAGUCAUGUCUGAAGAUUUUUUUUUUCCCCUACAAAGGGGUUUAUGGAACAAAGAAUAUUGGAAACUACAGUGAACAUUUCUAAAGGUUCCAAUUUUUCCUUAUUCUAAUAACAUUCCCCACAAAGAAUAUAAAAGAGUAUAAAUUGCAUCCCAGAAAUUUUGGGACAGCUUUGAGCUUAGAGUGGAAGACCUAGAUUCCAGUUUCAGUUCUGCCACUUUACAACCUAUGUGACCCUGGGAUUCCAGGUGGGGUGAUACAGCCAGACAGGCCAGAAGCCAGGGUACUUGAAGCAACUACAGGCCCUAAGCAACUCAAAAGCUUGAAGACAACUCAAGGACAACUUAGAAGGGAGGAAGCUUCAAGAGAACUGAAGAACUCUCAUCUCUCCUGCUUGCUUCAACUCCACCCUGCUCUUCACACAGGUGAGGGACAUUGAUCUCCACCAUUACCAAUGGUCUUUGGGACUGGGGUUAUGAAGGCAGGGAACAUGGCUUACUUAAACUUUGUGUUCCUUAACAUCUAGCACUAUAUUCUGCAUUUAGGAAAUAUUUAAAUAUUUGCUGUAACCAAUAAAUCUCACCAUUAUCAUGAGAUGCACUGAUUUGAUUGUGGCCAGACCAAAUGGCAGGAAAACCAAAAGUCUUCCAUAGACUAGAAAAGGUGAUUUGACUCUGGUUUGUUUAUAGGAACGAAGUGUUAGGAGUAGGGUAUCCUGUUUAUGGCUACUUCAGCUUAAGAUCAACAGUGAAAAACAACUUUGAACCAAAAUGUAGUCAGCAUCAAUGCUUUUUAUAGGUUGACUUGUUUUGGAUUUGUCUAAGUAAGGGCUUUUUCUAUCAGUUCUAGCUUCAGGGCUUUCAAUUGGUUCUACAAAAAGUCUCAGUACGAAAGACCAUGGGAAUAUGGAUCAGUAUUCUCUGUACCCCUGUACCUCUUUUCUGAAAAUGUUACCUUUACCUGGAAUGUUAUCCCUCCUAUUUUUUUUUCAUUUAAUUUUCUUUUUAAUUUGAACUUAACAAACACCAAAUAAAAUGAGCAUUCUCACAUACAGUGAGGAACAGAAGUCGAUUGUACAUGAAAUUGCUAUUACAAAUACCUUGUUUUUCUUUUAAAGUAUAUAAUAAGGUCAACAUGUGAUUUUCAAAGCAGUUCUGCUUGUCAGAUUCUUUCUCUUUUCUUUAUUCUUUUUCAGGGGCUGACAAGAUCCUAACUUUAGUCUCCCUCUCUUCUACCUCCUCUCAAUUGAAAAACAAAACUCUUGUAAUAAAUAUGCAGUAGAAACCAAAUUCCACAU